rnacentral:rRNA from 1 species
GAUGAACGCUAGCUACAGGCUUAACACAUGCAAGUCGAGGGGCAGCAUGAACAAAGCUUGCUUUGUUUGAUGGCGACCGGCGCACGGGUGCGUAACACGUAUCCAAUCUGCCCGCGGCUCGGGGAUAGCCCAUCGAAAGAUGGAUUAAUACCCGAUGGCGUGGUCACCCCGCAUGGGGUUUCCACUAAAGGUUUUCCGGCCGCGGAUGAGGAUGCGUAUGAUUAGGUAGUAGGCGGGGUAACGGCCCACCUAGCCUUCGAUCAUUAGGGGUUCUGGGAGGAAGGUCCCCCACACUGGAACUGAGACACGGUCCAGACUCCUACGGGAGGCAGCAGUGAGGAAUAUUGGUCAAUGGGCGAGAGCCUGAACCAGCCAAGUAGCGUGAAGGAAGACUGCCCUAUGGGUUGUAAACUUCUUUUGUUCGGGAAUAAAGUGCAGUAUGUAUACUGUUUUGUAUGUACCGUUCGAAUAAGCAUCGGCUAAUUCCGUGCCAGCCGCCGCCGUAAAAC